rnacentral:rRNA from 1 species
UGGGGAAUUUUGGACAAUGGGGGCAACCCUGAUCCAGCCAUGCCGCGUGUGUGAAGAAGGCCUUCGGGUUGUAAAGCACUUUCGGACGGAACGAAAUCGCACGGGUGAAUAUCCCGUGUGGAUGACGGUACUGUAAGAAGAAGCACCGGCUAACUACGUGCCAGCAGCCGCGGUAAUACGUAGGGUGCGAGCGUUAAUCGGAAUUACUGGGCGUAAAGCGUGCGCAGGCGGCUUUGCAAGUCAGACGUGAAAUCCCCGGGCUUAACCUGGGAAUGGCGUUUGAAACUACGGAGCUGGAGUGUGGCAGAGGGGGGUAGAAUUCCACGUGUAGCAGUGAAAUGCGUAGAUAUGUGGAGGAAUACCGAUGGCGAAGGCAGCCCCCUGGGCCAACACUGACGCUCAUGCACGAAAGCGUGGGGAGCAAACAGG